rnacentral:rRNA from 1 species
UUCCUACGGGAGGCUGCAGUGGGGAAUAUUGGACAAUGGGCGAAAGCCUGAUCCAGCAAUGCCGCGUGUGUGAAGAAGGCCUGCGGGUUGUAAAGCACUUUUGUUCGGGAAGAAAACGGAUCGGUUAAUACCCGGUUCGGAUGACGGUACCGAAAGAAUAAGCACCGGCUAACUUCGUGCCAGCAGCCGCGGUAAUACGAAGGGUGCAAGCGUUAAUCGGAAUUACUGGGCGUAAAGCGUGCGUAGGCGGCUUUUUAAGUCGGAUGUGAAAUCCCCGGGCUUAACCUGGGAAUGGCAUCCGAUACUGGAGAGCUGGAGUUUGGGAGAGGGUGGUGGAAUUCCCGGUGUAGCGGUGAAAUGCGUAGAGAUCGGGAGGAACAUCAGUGGCGAAGGCGGCCACCUGGCCUAAAACUGACGCUGAGGCACGAAAGCGUGGGGAGCAAACAGGAUUAGAUACCCUUGUAGUC